UACGUAGGGUGCGAGCGUUGCCCGGAUUUAUUGGGCGUAAAGGGCGCGUAGGCGGCUACGCACGUCCGUUGUGAAAUCGCUCGGCUCAACUGGGCGGGGUCAGCGGAUACGGCGUAGCUAGAGCAAGCUAGGGGGCAAUGGAAUUCCCGGUGUAGUGGUGGAAUGCGUAGAUAUCGGGAGGAACACCAGUGGCGAAGGCGGUUGCCUGGAGCUUUGCUGACGCUGAUGCGCGAAAGCGUGGGGAGCGAUCCGG
rnacentral:rRNA from 1 species